AGCAGCGUAGCUCAGUGAAAAGAGCACGGGCUUGGGAGUCAGGGGUCAUGGGUUCGAAUCCCAGCUCUGCCA
rfam:Ornithorhynchus anatinus chromosome 12, whole genome shotgun sequence.